rnacentral:rRNA from 10 species
GGGGACCUCAGGUCAGGCGG